AACGAACGCUGGCGACAUGCCUAACACAUGCAAGUCGAACGAGACCUUCGGGUCUAGUGGCGCACGGGUGCGUAACGCGUGGGAAUCUGCCCUUGGGUUCGGAAUAACUCAGAGAAAUUUGAGCUAAUACCGGAUGAUGACGAAAGUCCAAAGAUUUAUCGCACAAGGAUGAGCCCGCGUAAGAUUAGCUUGUUGGUGGGGUAAUGGCCCACCAAGGCGACGAUCUUUAGCUGGUCUGAGAGGAUGAUCAGCCACACUGGGACUGAGACACGGCCCAGACUCCUACGGGAGGCAGCAGUGGGGAAUAUUGGACAAUGGGCGAAAGCCUGAUCCAGCAAUGCCGCGUGAGUGAUGAAGGCCUUAGGGUUGUAAAGCUCUUUUACCAGGGAUGAUAAUGACAGUACCUGGAGAAUAAGCUCCGGCUAACUCCGUGCCAGCAGCCGCAGUAA
rnacentral:rRNA from 1 species